GGCUCUUCCCAACCUGGCCGUGCAGAAGCGGCCAAGGGUGCGGCUGUUCGCCGAUCAAAGGGGAACGUGAGCUGGGUUUAGACACCGCUGUUGGGGAAGCCUUUAUAGAAAACGACGGGCUAGAAAGUUUAGCCAACACCAUGGAAGUUUCAGCUCUUCAACUUCAGAUCAUUUACGGGUCGUUACUCGGCGAUGGAUGUCUCGACAGGCCUAAACCUGGUAACUCGAGGUUGCUCCAGCGACACAGUGAGAGGGAUGAACACUACGCACGGUUUAAGCAUGAGGCGCUGAGACCCCUGAUCCUCGGCUUAUUCAAGCACGUUUAUCGAGAUAGAAGAAGCGGGAAAACAUACUCUCAAAUCGGGUUCAAUACUGUGAGAGACCGUUUCUUCACCGAUUUGUACUGGUUGUUUUACCGGAAUAACGUAAAACACGUCCCCGAAAUCAUUCUUGCACAGUUAAACGAGGUUGCCCUUGCUGUAUUCGUAGGCGAUGACGGGACGUUUGACAGGUCCUCUGGUACCGUGAAGAUCUCGGUGGACAGGUAUGACAUGCGAGACAGACAGCUGAUACUUAGAUGGCUCGCCGAGAGGUUUGGCAUUGAAGCCACAAUCCAAAAAGACAGAAUCUACAUUCUGAGGAGAAGCUACCCGCAACUUAUCAACACAAUGCCUGAAAACGUUCUUCCAUACAUUAGCCGCAGGCUAGGCUUCCCCUAACGGGUGGAACAGACCGUCGUGAGACAGAUCGGAUUUUACCUGUUGGGGGUGCUGGCUGCCUGAGGGGAAGGUGCUCCCAGUACGAGAGGAACGGAGCGCCGGGGCCUACGGUUUACCGGUUGUCCUACAGGGCACUGCCGGGCAGCUGCGCCCCUGCGGAUAAGGGCUGAAAGCAUCUAAGCCCGAAGCCGCUCCCGAAAACAGGCAGCCAAUCGCC
rnacentral:rRNA from 1 species